UACGAAGGGGGCUAGCGUUGCUCGGAAUCACUGGGCGUAAAGCGCACGUAGGCGGACUCUUAAGUCGGUGGUGAAAUCCUGGAGCUCAACUCCAGAACUGCCUUCGAUACUGAGAGUCUCGAGUCCGGGAGAGGUGAGUGGAACUGCGAGUGUAGAGGUGAAAUUCGUAGAUAUUCGCAAGAACACCAGUGGCGAAGGCGGCGCACUGGCCCGGUACUGACGCUGAGGUGCGAAAGCGUGGGGAGCAAACAGG
rnacentral:rRNA from 1 species